CAGCAGCCGCGGUAAUACCGGCGGCCCGAGUGGCGGUCACUAUUAUUGGGCUUAAAGCGUCCGUAGCCGGGUUGGGAAGUCCUCCGGGAAAUCUGGCCGCUUAACGGUCAGAAUGCCGGAGGAUACUCCCAGCCUAGGGAGCGGGAGAGGCCGAGGGUAUUCCCGGAGUAGGGGUGAAAUCCUAUAAUCCCGGGAGGGCCACCUGUGGCGAAGGCGCUCGGCUGGAACGCGUCCGACGGUGAGGGACGAAGGCCAGGGGAGCAAACCGGAUUAGAUACCCGGGUAGUCCUGGCUGUAAACGAUGCGGACUUUGUGUCGGACAAGCUAUGAGCUUGUCCGGUGCCGGAGGGAAACCGUUAAGUCCGCCGCCUGGGGAGUACGGCCGCAAGGCUGAAACUUAAAGGAAUUGGCGGG
rnacentral:rRNA from 1 species